rnacentral:rRNA from 1 species
GAUGAACGCUGGCGGCGUGCCUAAUACAUGCAAGUCGAGCGAAUGGAUUGAGAGCUUGCUCUUAUGAAGUUAGCGGCGGACGGGUGAGUAACACGUGAGUAACCUGCCCAUAAGACUGGGAUAACUCCGGGAAACCGGGGCUAAUACCGGAUAACAUUUUGAACCGCAUGGUUCGAAAUUGAAAGGCGGCUUCGGCUGUCACUUCUGGAUGGACCCGCGUCGCAUUAGCUAGUUGGCGAGGUAACGGCUCACCAAGGCAACGAUGCGUAGCCGACCUGAGAGGGUGAUCGGCCACACUGGGACUGCGACACGGCCCAGACUCCUACGGGAGGCAGCAGUAGGGAAUCUUCCGCAAUGGACGAAAGUCUGACGGAGCAACGCCGCGUGAGUGAUGAAGGCUUUCGGGUCGUAAAACUCUGUUGUUAGGGAAGAACAAGUGCUAGUUGAAUAAGCUGGCACCUUGACGGUACCUAACCAGAAAGCCACGGCUAACUACGUGCCAGCCGCCGCAGUAA